ACGAAGGUGGCAAGCGUUGUUCGGAUUUACUGGGCGUACAGGGAGCGUAGGCGGUUCGGUAAGCCCUCUGUGAAAUCUCCAGGCUUAACCUGGAACAGUCGGAGGGGACUGCUGGGCUAGAGGACGGGAGAGGAGCGCGGAAUUCCCGGUGUAGCGGUGAAAUGCGUAGAGAUCGGGAGGAAGGCCGGUGGCGAAGGCGGCAUCCUGGACCGACAUUGACGCUGAUGAGCGAAAGCUAGGGGAGCAAACGGGA
rnacentral:rRNA from 1 species